AGACAAAAAAAAGCUCGGGACCAAUCCGAAUUGUCCCGAGCAUAGGGGAAUGGCUCAAAGGGAUUGAGCCGUGCGCUAACUCAUCUCGCUAAACGCCUAAAAAUUAAGCGUUGUUAAUUGCGGUAUUUUUAAGCAUAGUCAAAAAUUGAACAAUUGCUAAAAU
rnacentral:sRNA from 1 species